AGUGAACGCUGGCGGUAGGCCUAACACAUGCAAGUCGAACGGCAGCACAGUAAGAGCUUGCUCUUACGGGUGGCGAGUGGCGGACGGGUGAGGAAUACAUCGGAAUCUACUUUUUCGUGGGGGAUAACGUAGGGAAACUUACGCUAAUACCGCAUACGACCUACGGGUGAAAGCAGGGGAUCUUCGGACCUUGCGCGAUUGAAUGAGCCGAUGUCGGAUUAGCUAGUUGGCGGGGUAAAGGCCCACCAAGGCGACGAUCCCUAGCUGGUCUGAGAGGAUGAUCCGCCACAACUGAACUGGGGCACGGUUCAGGCUCCUACGGGAAGCAGCAGGGGGGAAUAUUGGACAAUGGGCGCAAGCCUGAUCCAGCCAUACCGCGUGGGUGAAGAAGGCCUUCGGGUUGUAAAGCCCUUUUGUUGGGAAAGAAAAGCAGCAGGUUAAUACCCCGCUGUUCUGACGGUACCCAAAGAAUAAGCACCGGCUAACUUCGUG
rnacentral:rRNA from 1 species